rnacentral:vault_RNA from 1 species
GGGCUGGCUUUAGCUCAGCGGUUCCUUCGACAGUGUUCUAACAGCCUGUUUGCAGAGGCAGAGUAGUUCAAGACCCAAGGGCACUCUCCAUUAUUUA